UUUUUCACCAAUAUACUUACGCCAUACGAAAGAAAAAAGGUACAUUGUAUUAACUUAAAUUUAAUACAAUAAACCCAACCAAACCAUUGAACAGAACGAGUGAUAAUAGCAUACUAGUAAUCCAUCUUGGUUAAGUGUUUCAUGUAUUAUUCAAGUCGCAAUGAUCAAACAUAAUGUCACUUGGGCAAUAAUAUCUACACUCAAAUGACGAAGAGCAGACCAACACACACUUAUAUAUCGAUGAAGAUGAUGACCAAUGGUCCGAUGAUUCAACUGAUAGCGAAAUGGUUGAUCAGAGCGAUGAGGACUUAGUGUCACUCUACAUACAAGUACCAAAACCGAUUUCCCGUCAAAAUAAAACUCGAAGGGAGUUGAAGAGAUUGGCAGUUCGUCGUUUAGUCGAAGGACGUCAUGUUAAAAUAUCACAAUCGCCGGUGGCGAUAAAGAAUAAUACAGAUAAAUUGUCAUCUCCGUGGGAGAAAAAUUAUUUUUUCAAAGCCUACUGCGAAUUUGAUGAUUUAUCUUCAGGCGUCGAUGACGACGAAGAUUCAGCCGACGAGGAAAAUUAUCACGUGGAUUUUUUAUCGAAAAAGCUAUCGAACAAUGAUUAAUGCCAAAUCGAACAUCUUCACCUAUCAUUUAAACGUUUUUUAAUAUUUUUAAUUUCUAUUGAUUUUAACGAAUUAUAUUUAAAAUAUUGAAGCUAAAUUAUAGAGUUUGUCUAAUAUUAUCUAUUAUA